AUUGAACGCUGGCGGCAGGCCUAACACAUGCAAGUCGAGCGGAUGAGAAGAGCUUGCUCUUCGAUUCAGCGGCGGACGGGUGAGUAAUGCCUAGGAAUCUGCCUGGUAGUGGGGGACAACGUUUCGAAAGGAACGCUAAUAACGCAUACGUCCUACGGGAGAAAGCAGGGGACCUUCGGGCCUUGCGCUAUCAGAUGAGCCUAGGUCGGAUUAGCUAGUUGGUGAGGUAAUGGCUCACCAAGGCGACGAUCCGUAACUGGUCAGAGAGGAUGAUCAGUCACACUGGAACUGAGACACGGUCCAGACUCCUACGGGAGGCAGCAGUGGGGAAUAUUGGACAAUGGGCGAAAGCCUGAUCCAGCCAUGCCGCGUGUGUGAAGAAGGUCUUCGGAUUGUAAAGCACUUUAAGUUGGGAGGAAGGGCAGUAAGUUAAUACCUUGCUGUUUUGACGUUACCGACAGAAUAAGCACCGGCUAACUCUGUGCCAGCCGCCGCAGUAACAC
rnacentral:rRNA from 1 species